rnacentral:lncRNA from 1 species
UUAUUAACCCAAAAGAAUAUACAAAAAUUCUCCCGAGUCUAGAACAAGAUACAUCAAGUAAGAGAGUACGGCUGUUGAACAUAUUCGUAUCUCCACAGCAUUUUGAGUUUGCACCCAAACAUUGGUCUAUUUGGUGUUUGUCCUGCAUACAUCCAAUGGUCAACAGGUCAAAGCGCUUCUGAGAACCGUAAAUCUGCAGGGCCAGGUCCCAAAAUUCCUUUCUGUUCGCUUAUCUUGCCUAGUCCAUGAGGUGCUGGUACUGGGGCUGACAAUGGUGGUGGUGGUUCUGCAAGAACAUUUUGACCAUCGUCUCUCCAGCCAGGCUCCUGUCACUCUCUCAUGACGAUCAGAAUUCAGAAGCAAACAAAGCAGAAGGCAUAUGAAAUGAAAGUUGGUCACAUCAAUUUCAUAGAGGAAAAAAAAAACAUGUAUCUGUCAGCACCUAAAACAAAUGAUACAAAUAUACAAUCACAGCAACAGGCAGGUACCAAACAUCAUCAGCAACAUUAUUUUCCUUUUAAAAGGAUUCCUAAUCUAUGAUCCUACGGGGAAAUUUACCUAUGAAGUGAGAAAAAGAAAAAUAAAUGAGGCAAUAUUUGAUUUCUCCAUCACUUAAAUCUUGAGAUAUUUUGGGGGAAAAAAGGGCACUUAACAAAAGCUAAAGAUACUCGCCUCAUUGUCUUGCAACAAUGGGGUUGCAAGGGGUGGAGCAACAUCUGGGUCAGGCUUUUGAAAUAUAAACGUACUAUAGAGACCUGUAAUGGAAAAAUCCCAAAAGAAUGAGUACAUAUGGAUAGAAUGUCAAAGCAAUGAAAGUUGAAGGUAGCCAUGUGACAGAUAAAAACCACACCUAGCACAUCAUAUGAUCUGGGAAGAAGUCUCCCUCUUGGAUCAAUCAGAUUUGGACCAGCACUCAUCAGCAUGCCUGCAAAUAGAGCUCUUUGGGCAGCAUUUCAGUUACAAAAAGGAAAAACAAUACACAUAUCUUCCAUAUAAAAAUAAACUGAAAUGCAAAAGCAAUAAUAAUUUUUAAUUUGAACAAGCGUGGAAACUAAAAAAGUUAAAAAUGUGACUCCUGCGCUUAAGAGUUAUAGAACAGAAAAGCAAUAUUCACCUACCUGUUAUCAUCAUAAAAUUCGUUCAAGUUCUGAAUCUCCACAUAUUCAAGACCAGCCUCCCUGGCCAACCUGAGUUGCAUAAUAUGGACAUAACGAUUUAGAUAUAUAACAGAUAUGAGCGCUUAAAGGUCCACAAAUUUUUUCUUAAGGAAAAAGGUGGAGUAGUAAAACAGUGGAAGAAUGCUUUAAAUGAUGUUUGUUACUCAUAUUAGGUUAAGUAGCCACACUCCAAGUUCAGGAUACCAUUUCUAUACCAACCAAACUCUCAGUCAUCAUUCACUCUGGAGGCAGCACAAUUUGUGAUACUUCAUUGAAGGUUGGACACAGUUUAAAUACAGAAUUUAUUCAUUUCUAUUGCAAUUUUCACAAUUCUGACAUGCACAAGGCAUAGGCAACAGGCACUAAUGCAUGUGGUGGCAAAUAUAAUCAGUUAGGGCAACCAAAUAUAUUUGUUUUUUUUCAAAUAGAUUGCCCGAUGCAUGCUAAGAGAGAACAUCUAUUGAACAUGUGCCUAUUUGAAGAUGCAAACAAGUUACAGCCUAAGUCGCAAAGUUUUAUUAACCCAAAAGAAUAUACAAAAAUUCUCCCGAGUCUAGAACAAGAUACAUCAAGUAAGAGAGUACGGCUGUUGAACAUAUUCGUAUCUCCACAGCAUUUUGAGUUUGCACCCAAACAUUGGUCUAUUUGGUGUUUGUCCUGCAUACAUCCAAUGGUCAACAGGUCAAAGCGCUUCUGAGAACCGUAAAUCUGCAGGGCCAGGUCCCAAAAUUCCUUUCUGUUCGCUUAUCUUGCCUAGUCCAUGAGGUGCUGGUACUGGGGCUGACAAUGGUGGUGGUGGUUCUGCAAGAACAUUUUGACCAUCGUCUCUCCAGCCAGGCUCCUGUCACUCUCUCAUGACGAUCAGAAUUCAGAAGCAAACAAAGCAGAAGGCAUAUGAAAUGAAAGUUGGUCACAUCAAUUUCAUAGAGGAAAAAAAAAACAUGUAUCUGUCAGCACCUAAAACAAAUGAUACAAAUAUACAAUCACAGCAACAGGCAGGUACCAAACAUCAUCAGCAACAUUAUUUUCCUUUUAAAAGGAUUCCUAAUCUAUGAUCCUACGGGGAAAUUUACCUAUGAAGUGAGAAAAAGAAAAAUAAAUGAGGCAAUAUUUGAUUUCUCCAUCACUUAAAUCUUGAGAUAUUUUGGGGGAAAAAAGGGCACUUAACAAAAGCUAAAGAUACUC